rnacentral:pre_miRNA from 1 species
UGUUAAAAGUUUAAUCUAUUUAUAUUGUUAAAAAUUGACAUUAACGAAAUAACCAAACAAUAACACGUGAUGUGACACUUGUACCUCGUAUUGAUGGCAUGAACCGGUUUUUAAUAGUAGAAAUGAAUAAAAUUUUUAAUA